GCUGAAGAACGCAGCGAAAUGCGAUACGUAAUGUGAAUUGCAGAAUUCAGUGAAUCAUCGAAUCUUUGAACGCAUAUUGCGCUCUCUGGUAUUCCGGAGAGCAUGCUUGUUUGAGUAUCAGUAAACACCUCAGCUUCCAUAUCUUUUUUGAAAUGGGAGUUGGACUUGAGUGAUCCCAACGCUUUUCCUCACCGAAAAGUGGCGGGUUACUUGAAAUGCAGGUGCAGCUGGACUUUUCUCUGAGCUAUAAGCAUAUCUAUUUAGUCUGCCUAAAAAACAGAUUAUUACCUUUGCUGCAGCUAACAUAAAGGAGAUUAGUUCUUGUGCUGACUGAUGCAGGAUUCACAAAGACAGGCUUCGGCCGACUUUGUAAACUCGAUCUCAAAUCAAGUAAGACUACCCGCUGAACUUAAGCAUAUCAAUAAGCGGAGGA
rnacentral:misc_RNA from 1 species